GGAGUAGCUUAACAAGGCAAAGCGGCGGCUUUGGAAGCCGGCAGUUGUUGGUUCGAAUCCAGCCUCUU
rnacentral:tRNA from 1 species